rnacentral:misc_RNA from 1 species
GAAAUGCGAUAAUUAAUGUGAAUUGCAGAAUUCAGUGAAUCAUCGAGUCUUUGAACGCACAUUGCGCCCCCUGGUAUUCCGGGGGGCAUGCCUGUCCGAGCGUCAUUGCUGCCCUCAAGCACGGCUUGUGUGUUGGGCUUCCGUCCCUGGCAACGGGGACGGGCCCAAAAGGCAGUGGCGGCACCAUGUCUGGUCCUCGAGCGUAUGGGGCUUUGUCACCCGCUCCCGUAGGUCCAGCUGGCAGCUAGCCUCGCAACCAAUCUUUUUAACAAGGUUGACCUCGGAUCAGGUAGGGAUACCCGCUGAACUUAAGC